AGAGUUUGAUUCUGGCUCAGGAUGAACGCUAGCGGCAGGCCUAACACAUGCAAGUCGAGGGGUAGAACACUUCGGUGUUUGAGACCGGCGCACGGGUGCGUAACGCGUAUGCAAUCUACCUUAUACAGGGGAAUAGCCCAGAGAAAUUUGGAUUAAUGCCCCAUAGUGUUAUAGAAUCGCAUGGUUUUAUAACUAAAGUUCCAACGGUAUAAGAUGAGCAUGCGUCCCAUUAGUUAGUUGGUAAGGUAACGGCUUACCAAGACAAUGAUGGGUAGGGGUCCUGAGAGGGAGAUCCCCCACACUGGUACUGAGACACGGACCAGACUCCUACGGGAGGCAGCAGUGAGGAAUAUUGGUCAAUGGGCGCAAGCCUGAACCAGCCAUGCCGCGUGCAGGAAGAAGCAUCUAUGGUGUGUAAACUGCUUUUAUACAGGAAGAAACACCUCCACGUGUGGAGGCUUGACGGUACUGUAGGAAUAAGGAUCGGCUAACUCCGUGCCAGCAGCCGCGGUAAUACGGAGGAUCCAAGCGUUAUCCGGAAUCAUUGGGUUUAAAGGGUCCGUAGGCGGUCUUAUAAGUCAGUGGUGAAAGCCCAUCGCUCAACGAUGGAACUGCCAUUGAUACUGUAAGACUUGAAUUUUUGUGAAGUAACUAGAAUAUGUAGUGUAGCGGUGAAAUGCUUAGAUAUUACAUGGAAUACCAAUUGCGA
rnacentral:rRNA from 1 species